GCUGAUUAGAUUUGGAAUUCUCUUCAGCACUCUUGAUCCUUCUGAAGAUAUGAAGUGUGUUGAUGCUCUCUUGAAGGCCACAUGUGCUGUUAUGAAGAUGAUGUGUCGUUGCCAUUGUUAUCCACUUUAUGAACUUCUUAUUAAUUUUUAGUGACAACUACGUAUUGUUAAUGCUUUGUUCCAAACAUUUUAUGUACAACUUAAACGUGUUUAAUUUGUUGGUUGAAUAUUUCAGGACUUGUAAAUGUUAUACACUCUAUUUCAAUUAUGCUUUCAAUUGAGUUUGUUUUUAUUUUAA